rnacentral:lncRNA from 1 species
GGGUGAUUAAGAUCAUAAUAAGUCACUAAGUUUCAUUCUCAGGAAGACAGUGUAGAAAAGAAAUUGAUUUAGUGUGGUCCAAACAAUAAUUAUCUUAGAUUUUGCAUCAUCCUGCAUUUUUGGCUUAUCAAGAAAAUCCCUUACAAAAAUCACGGAACAAAGUAUAUUCAUCUUAUUGUUGAAUUUUGAGUUAGUGGGCUCAUGUUUACCACACAAUGCAUGAUAAUGAAAAAAAAUUCAUCGCAGUGACAGAUUCACAGUUCGGGUCAUAAUGCAUUUUACUCUGACGCCAUCGUCUAAUGGAGGCAUCCAUUCCUUACAAAACUUAUGAAAUAUU